CCUACGGGGGGCUGCAGUGGGGAAUCUUGCGCAAUGGGGGGAACCCUGACGCAGCGACGCCGCGUGCGGGACGGAGGCCUUCGGGUCGUAAACCGCUUUCAGCAGGGAAGAGUCAAGACUGUACCUGCAGAAGAAGCCCCGGCUAACUACGUGCCAGCAGCCGCGGUAAUACGUAGGGGGCGAGCGUUAUCCGGAUUCAUUGGGCGUAAAGCGCGCGUAGGCGGCCCGGCAGGCCGGGGGUCGAAGCGGGGGGCUCAACCCCCCGAAGCCCCCGGAACCUCCGCGGCUUGGGUCCGGUAGGGGAGGGUGGAACACCCGGUGUAGCGGUGGAAUGCGCAGAUAUCGGGUGGAACACCGGUGGCGAAGGCGGCCCUCUGGGCCGAGACCGACGCUGAGGCGCGAAAGCUGGGGGAGCGAACAGGAUUAGAUACCCUGGUAGU
rnacentral:rRNA from 1 species